rnacentral:rRNA from 1 species
AGAGUUUGAUUAUGGCUCAGGAUGAACGCUAGCGUAACGCCUAACACAUGCAAGUCGAACGAAUUCUGCGUUGUAGCAAUACAUAGUAGAAUUAGUGGCAAACGAGCGAGUAACGCGUGCCUAACUUGCCCUUAAGAUGAGUAUAACUAUAGAGAUAUAGCUAAUCCUCAAUAUGCUCACGAUGGUGAAAUUCCGAUGUGAGGAAAGAUUUAUCGCUUAAGGAGAGGGGUGCGUCCUAUCAGGUAGUUGGUGGGGUAACGGCCUACCAAGCCAAUGACGGGUAACCGGUCUGAGAUGAUGUCCGGUCGCGAUGGGACUGAGAUACGGCCCAUACUCCUACGGGAGGCAGCAGUGGGGAAUCUUGCACAAUGGACGAAAGUCUGAUGCAGCGAUUACGCGUGAAGGAUGAAGCAUUACGGUGUGUAAACUUCUUUUUGGUGGAAGACGAAUGACGGUACACCAAGAAUAAGAGACGGCUAACUACGUGCCAGCCGCCGC